GUGGUGGAGAACGUAGUCCACACGUGCUAUGGCAGGCUGUUUGUUAUCAUUGCAAGCUCUAAAAGUUCACUCCCCAUCACUGAGAGGGACAUCCUCAUAUAAUUCCUGGGAGCUUAUAGAAGUGAUUCCAGGACUUCAAGUUAGUAUUUCUGAUCCAGGCCCAUGUCAAAUACUUUCUGGGAACUCCUGGAUGUAGAGAAAGGAAAUGGAAAGCACAAGCAACCAUCCUAACCCAGAGAGCUAGAGGUAUAGCUCAAUGGUAAAGCGCUUACCUAGCAAACAAGAGGCACCUGACUUCAAAUUCCCAGCACCACAAAAGAAAAGUAAAAACAAAUCAAAGCAAACAUGCAAACAAACAAGAAACUCGCACAAAACUAGCAGAGGCCAGC
rnacentral:lncRNA from 1 species